rnacentral:ncRNA from 14 species
AGGGAGGUGCGCGACUGGCGAUAGGUAUCAUGGUCUUGCCGGCCAUUGAUGCUGACGUGGGGACACCACUGGGAAGCGCACCGCUCAAAGCCGUUUGGCCACAGCGUUCAGCCGUUCGCCUGGGCAGCCCUU